GAUGAACGCUGGCGGCGUGCCUAAUACAUGCGAGUCGAGCGAACAGACGAGGAGCUUGCUCCUCUGACGUUAGCGGCGGACGGGUGAGUAACACGUGGAUAACCUACCUAUAAGACUGGGAUAACUUCGGGAAACCGGAGCUAAUACCGGAUAAUAUAUUGAGCCGCAUGGUUCAAUAGUGAAAGACGGUUUUGCUGUCACUUAUAGAUGGAUCCGCGCCGCAUUAGCUAGUUGGUAAGGUAACGGCUUACCAAGGCAACGAUGCGUAGCCGACCUGAGAGGGUGAUCGGCCACACUGGAACUGAGACACGGUCCAGACUCCUACGGGAGGCAGCAGUAGGGAAUCUUCCGCAAAGGGCGAAAGCCUGACGGAGCAACGCCGCGUGAGUGAUGAAGGUCUUCGGAUCGUAAAACUCUGUUAUUAGGGAAGAACAAAUGUGUAAGUAACUAUGCACGUCUUGACGGUACCUAAUCAGAAAGCCACGGCUAACUACGUG
rnacentral:rRNA from 1 species